rnacentral:lncRNA from 1 species
CACCACGACGUUCUCCCUCGCUUCCAUUCAUAUAUAUACUAGCGAGCUAGCUAGAGAGACGGACGGACGGAGAGCAACAGAAGGCACCACCAGAGAGAAGGAGAGAGAAAACGGAGUGGUUGGAUGAAGUUGCGAUUUUUCUUCUCGUCUUUUUCUUCCUAUCCGGCCACUGGAAUAAAGACGUGGUAGUGAUGAGAAGGGCGGGCGAGUCUCCCACUCUUCUCGAUCUUCUCUAGUCUCUCCUCUCCUAUCCUCUCCUCCCCGUCUGUCGUCGGUCGAGAAAAAGAAAAGAAAUGUAAUAAUAUAUUUAAAAAACAAAAACUGCUCUUGCUCCCUUUCUUUCUAUCUCUCUCCCCUUUUCUCUUCCUUCCUGAGCUGCUUCUCCCUCCUCCUCCUCCUCCGGCUGCUGCGGCUGCGACCGGGACCGGGACCGGGACCGGGAGACAAUCUACCUGGAAGGACCUAGCGGGGUCUCCUUUUCUCUCACUCCAUUUGCUCUCCCUCUCCCCCUAAAUGACCUCCGUACCCCUCGAGGCCGCUCCUGGUGACAUUGAUUCCGCCAAUUAGGACACGGGUGGGUGCCCUCAGAUUCGCUCACAGGGUUUGGGCUUGUUGAGACUUGAGAGAGGAGGAGGAUUAAAGAGCAAGGAGCUGAGAGAAAAUCCGAACCCAAUAGAGGGAGAUGCGGUACUAGAAUUAACUUAAGAAGAUAUAUAUGAUAGCAGCCGGGGGAGGGGGGCAGGUGCUGGGGUUGGUAUUA